rnacentral:rRNA from 1 species
AUGGCGGCGCUGAAGUUGGAGGAAGUGAGAAGGGCACAGCAGGCGGUGGGUCUGGCGACCGUGCUGGCAAUCGGCACGGCCGUCCCGGCCAACUGCGUGUACCAGGCCACCUACCCGGACUACUAUUUCAGAGUCACCAAGAGCGAGCACCUCCCGGACCUCAAGGAGAAGUUCGAGAGGAUGUGCGAGAAGUCCACGAUCAGGAAGAGGCACAUGCACCUCACCGAAGAGAUCCUGAAAAAGAACCCUAGCAUCUGCUCCCACAUGGAGCCGUCGCUGGACACGCGCCACGACAUUGUCGUCGUGGAGGUGCCCAAACUUGGGAAAGAGGCGGCAGAGAGGGCCAUCAAGGAGUGGGGCCAGCCACUGUCGAAGAUCACCCACGUCGUCUUCUGCACCACCUCCGGCGUGGACAUGCCAGGCGCCGACUACCAGUUGACGAGGCUACUUGGCCUCUCGCCGACGGUCAAACGCCUCAUGAUGUACCAGCAAGGCUGCUUUGGCGGUGCCACGGUGCUCCGCAUGGCUAAAGACAUCGCCGAGAACAACCGCGGCGCACGUGUGUUGGUGGUCUGCUCGGAGAUUACCGCCAUGGCAUUCCGUGGCCCCUCCAAGUCCCAUUUGGAUUCGCUGGUCGGACAUGCGCUCUUUGGCGAUGGCGCGGCCGCUGCCAUCAUCGGUGCCGACCCCGACGUGCCCUUCGAGAAGCCACUCUUCCAGCUGGUAUCAGCGAGCCAGACCAUCCUGCCCGACUCCGAGGGUGCCAUCAACGGCCACCUUACGGAGGCAGGGCUCACCAUCCACCUUCUCAAGGACGUGCCCGGGCUCAUCUCCGAGAACAUCGAGCAAGCGCUCGAGGACGCCUUCAAGCCUCUGGGCAUCCACGACUGGAAUUCCAUCUUCUGGAUUGCACACCCUGGCGGGCCAGCGAUCCUGGACAUGGUUGAGGAGAAAGUUGGCCUAGACAAGGAACGCAUGCGCGCCAGCCGAGAGGUCCUGUCGGAGUACGGCAACAUGUCCAGCGCAUGUGUCCUCUUCGUCCUCGACGUGAUGCGUAAGACCUCUUCCCAGGAUGGCCACACAACCACUGGAGAGGGUAAGGAGUGGGGUGUCCUCUUCGGCUUUGGCCCCGGCCUCACCGUCGAGACGCUCGUCCUCUACAGCGUCCCGAUCACAACCACUAUAAAAGGAUCGAGUUAG